UACGAAGGGGGCUAGCGUUGCUCGGAAUCACUGGGCGUAAAGGGUGCGUAGGCGGGUCUUAAGUCAGGGGUGAAAUCCUGGAGCUCAACUCCAGAACUGCCUUUGAUACUGAGGAUCUCGAGUUCGGGAGAGGUGAGUGGAACUGCGAGUGUAGAGGUGAAAUUCGUAGAUAUUCGCAAGAACACCAGUGGCGAAGGCGGCUCACUGGCCCGAUACUGACGCUGAGGUGCGAAAGCGUGGGGAGCAAACAGG
rnacentral:rRNA from 1 species